AUCUUCAGGGCAGGGUGCAAUUCCCUACCGGUGGUACAGCCCACGAGCCGCAAGGUAUGAUUCGGUGAAAUUCCGAAGCCGACAGUAUAGUCUGGAUGAAAGAAGAUG
rnacentral:ncRNA from 1 species